rnacentral:lncRNA from 1 species
AAGAAACAGAGCCCAUGACGCUUUCAUAAAUGAGUGAAGGAAGAGAUUGGAAGAAUGCCUGGGGAAAUUUAGAGGGUGCAGAAGACCCCUGAGCACCGUCCCAACUGGUGCAACCUGUGCAGCAGGGACCAAGAUCCAGCACAGAAGUACAUGGGGAAAAGCCAAAUUCUUCAUCAACUUCUGACAACUCAGGCCUGCAUUUUUCCAUUGACUUUGGUAUUAACCGAAUCAGUCUAAUAACCACUUUGAGAGGCUCCUUGGCAAAAUUCACAAUGAAACAAAUAAAGAUCUCCUGUCAGCUCAACAUUUUUCAGAGAAAUACUGAAUAUAACUUAGAGCUUAUGUUGGGACCCAGCUGGCUGGUCCCAUGCCCAUAA